AACGAACGCUGGCGGCAUGCCUAACACAUGCAAGUCGAACGAGACCUUCGGGUCUAGUGGCGCACGGGUGCGUAACGCGUGGGAACCUGCCCUUAGGUUCGGAAUAACUCCCCGAAAGGGGUGCUAAUACCGGAUAAUGUCUUCGGACCAAAGAUUUAUCGCCUUUGGAUGGGCCCGCGUUGGAUUAGCUAGUUGGUAGGGUAAAAGCCUACCAAGGCGACGAUCCAUAGCUGGUCUGAGAGGAUGAUCAGCCACACUGGGACUGAGACACGGCCCAGACUCCUACGGGAGGCAGCAGUGGAGAAUAUUGGACUAUGGGCGAAAGCCGGAUACAGCAAUGCCGCGUGAGUGAUGAAGGCCUUAGGGUUGUAAAGCUCUAUUACCCGGGAUGAUAAUGACAGUACCGGGAGAAUAAGCUCCGGCUAACUCCGUG
rnacentral:rRNA from 1 species